UACUUCUCUCUGAUCCUUUCGCAUCCACCGCCUCCAUCUCGGCGUCGUCGCCAGAAACGCUUCGUCGUCGAUUCGCAUGGAUCCAUAAAAGGCUUGGCUCUCCCAUCCGCCGUCGCCCCCAUCGCGUUGUCCCUAGAGAGGAAGCAAGGCACAUGACCACCGUCUCCGGGUGGGAUGACGAGUCCGUCCUCCUCAAUGUGAUGGUCAUUGAGGCCACCCUCGUCUAUGAGUCCCAUCGCAAGAGGCGAGCCUCCACCUGCUCCAACGAUGACGACACCAGAUCCAACACCAAAUACGGAGAUACAGUUGACAGGGCUCCUCUCUUCCACGCUGCGAAGGUGACUUGUGUACUUAGCAAUGGUGCAAAUCAUGCCCAUCCACGAGAUCUUGGCCUCAACGCUGAUUGAGAAGAUGACGUUGCAAAUAUUUCAGACUUGUAGAGCCCUCGAGCACCUCCAUCUCUUGUUCAGUUGCUUAUAUUAGUCAUAUGUUCCCUAUGUUUAAAUUUGAUAGUAGAUUGAGGCAACAUAUAAACUUCAGGUCAAGAUAAGAAGAGAUAAAGGAAGAAGAAUCAAAUGAGAAACCUUUUCAGUCAGUAUAGAAUGACAUCUUUUUUCUUUCAGUUCAGACCACCAAGGAGCCACCUUCCUCCAAUGGUGUGGUGCAAAAACAACGACAUGGUCUACACAGUAGUGCCUCUAACGCAAGGACACAGGCAGGCGUCAUAGAGUAUCAUUGAGGAAAUCCUAUCUCUGUUAUUAAAUGGUGUGUUUAAUUUGUUCUCGAUCCCAGUUUAAUCUAUUGACUGUAUAUUAGAAACUAACUCAUGCAAAUCAUGGCGUGCAUGGAUCGGUUAUUCGACUCUUGCUCAGUAAGGAUGCUUCUUCUCUUUUCUUAUAUCUAUGAUCCUAUACUAGAUGCUACUGUGAUUGAUAUGGGAGGUGCAUUUUUUUGCAUAUUUGCCUGUACAUAUGCUUUGAGCUGAUCAGCCUUGUGGACACAGGUAAUUUAUAAUUGUGAAUUUCCAAAAAAGGAUGGCUGCAUGAAUUCUAUGCAAAAAGAAGAAAUAAAAAAAGUUCCCUUGGUUCAUUCUGUUUGUGUCUGUGUGCUGCAACGGUAGGGUGUCAGUUCCUUCCCGUGACUCACGCAAUUCAUUUUGUAUGCUAAUUGCAUGUCUAAAGUGCUUUCUUCUGCCAUAGAAAGUGUUGUUUAGUAAAUGAUCCUUGAAUUUGGUAUUUUUUAUGUUUAGUUUCGAAGGAGCCUGUUAAAUACCCUGGCCAAAUGGACCACAAAAGCUUAUUUGCAAUGUGCAUGUCCGCUUCUUGCACAUUUGCUUAUAUACAAGACCGGAGUACUAUGAUUUUCGUCGCUACUUUGAUUGUGCUUUGAGUAAAAAAGGUUACAAAAAUAAUGUGUUUGGUAGGGAACAUAGCGAUAAAUAGUAAAAAAAGAAUUAAAUGCACAUUGCUAAUCGCUUUAUAUGUUAUGAUUAUAAAUUUACAUUCAAUUAAACUAUUAGAGAGUACAUGGACAAAAAAGCAAGCAACAAUAGAAAAAUGGUAUUAAUAGGAGAACAAUUACUAAGUGGUGGCGGUAGGGUCAGCUGGUGCGGUUCUGCCAUCAGGUGUACUCAAUUCUUUCAUAAGAGGUAGCUUGUUCUACAUCACCACAACAUCACAGGAAUGUAAAUUAGAAGACAUAAAAAGGACUAUAGGCCUUAGUUCAAUGGGUAAUCAACAUACAAAUAAAUCUUAUCUACAAAGAUAGACAUGUGAAUUGGUCUCUUGAGAAGGUGAGUUCUUUUGCCAGAUGGAAAAUCUAGCAUCAUUCUGCCCUUUUUUACACAUAAGAGGUUUAUGAGCAAAUCAUCACCAUGUACGAAAUUAUCUAUUCUUUCGUUAGUUUCUGGUCAGUAGGUAUUGGGGGCCUUCGGCUUCCGAAGGUCCUCAAAAACAAGAUUUAACAGUAUUUUUGGAGUAUAAUGUGUGAAC